rnacentral:rRNA from 1 species
GAUGAACGCUGGCGGCGUGCCUAAUACAUGCAAGUCGAGCGAAUGGAUUAAGAGCUUGCUCUUAUGAAGUUAGCGGCGGACGGGUGAGUAACACGUGGGUAACCUGCCCAUAAGACUGGGAUAACUCCGGGAAACCGGGGCUAAUACCGGAUAACAUUUUGAACCGCAUGGUUCGAAAUUGAAAGGCGGCUUCGGCUGUCACUUAUGGAUGGACCCGCGUCGCAUUAGCUAGUUGGUGAGGUAACGGCUCACCAAGGCGAGGAUGCGUAGCCGACCUGAGAGGGUGAUCGGCCACACUGGGACUGGGACACGGCCCAGACUCCUAGGGGAGGCAGCAGUAGGGAAUCUUCCGCAAUGGACGAAAGUCUGACGGAGCAACGCCGCGUGAGUGAUGAAGGCUUUCGGGUCGUAAAACUCUGUUGUUAGGGAAGAACAAGUGCUAGUUGAAUAAGCUGGCACCUUGACGGUACCUAACCAGAAAGCCACGGCUAACUACGUGCCAGCAGCCGCAGUAA